rnacentral:misc_RNA from 1 species
UUAAGUUCAGCGGGUAUCCCUACCUGAUCCGAGGUCAAGUCGUAGAAAGGUCUUGCUGGAGCGCGGGUCCGCCGGGCCUCCGAGAAGCGCAAAUGUGCUGCGCUCAGGGGCCGGCACGACCGCCGCCAAUGACUUUGAGGCGAGUCCGCGCGCGAAGCGGGACAGACGCCCAACACCAAGCUAGGCUUGAGGGUGUAAAU